ensembl:lncRNA
UAAUGAUUUGCUUUAUUACCAGUUUCCUGAUCCCCCCUUCAAAUGGAACAAGAACCUGUAUUUCUGCAACUGUAUUUUCAUUUGUCUUCAGACACCUUUAAUCGAUGAGUCAGCAGGUUUGCUGUGUCUGCUGGUCAGAGCCCAGAACUCAGCUUCUGAAACGUGGGAAGGCAGUCUCCAGUUGAGCCCACUCAACAGGCAAAGAGAGACACAUCCCUCUCCUACACUGUGAAACAGCCCCUCCUAACAGAGCAAAAAUGCUUCUGGAAAAAAAGGACUGCAGUUUGCAAAAUUGAAUCUGGGACUUUUGUGAACGUUAGGACUGAAAAGAGAAGAGAAGGAGGCAUUAUCCAUUUCAGCUCUUUGUCAAGAAAACAGCCCUGGGUUGCAUUCCUCAAAGAAGACCACUUUUUGGCACGGGGUACAAAAGCUGAUGGCAGGACCCCUGAGCCCAGCAAGAGGAUACCAGUGGUGAAGCACACAUAUGCAGCACCAGCCUCACAACAGCUGCAGCUUUAGCCAACAGCAAAGACCACCAGUUUUAAUGCCAGGUUACCCAACUGAAGGUGGGCAAGGAUGCAUUUCUAAGAAGGCUUCCCGGAAAGAGACACAGCUGUAAG